AGCGAACGCUGGCGGCAGGCUUAACACAUGCAAGUCGAGCGGGCAUCCUUGUGGUGUCAGCGGCAGACGGGUGAGUAACGCGUGGGAACGUGCCCUUCGGUUCGGAAUAACUCAGGGAAACUUGAGCUAAUACCGGAUACGUGCGAGAGCAGAAAGGUUUAUCUGCCGAAGGAUCGGCCCGCGUCUGAUUAGCUAGUUGGUGAGGUUAUGGCUCACCAAGGCGACGAUCAGUAGCUGGUCUGAGAGGAUGAUCAGCCACACUGGGACUGAGACACGGCCCAGACUCCUACGGGAGGCAGCAGUGGGGAAUAUUGGACAAUGGGGGCAACCCUGAUCCAGCCAUGCCGCGUGAGUGAUGUCGGCCUUAGGGUUGUAAAGCUCUUUUCUUCGGGACGAUAAUGACGGUACCGGAGGAAUAAGCCCCGGCUAACUUCGUG
rnacentral:rRNA from 1 species